AAAACUGCGAGUUAAUGGAAUGUGAGAGAAAAUAGAUUUCAAGGUAUAAAAGUACAAAUAUAUGAAUACAUAACUUUGAACAAAUUGACUAAGUAAGUAAAAGAUUUAAUUCAAAAUAGUUUGUGGUAGGGGCAAAUGGGUAGGAAUUGAGAGGAGGAAGGUAAAAGAAUGCUAUCAUUUGGCUUAACUGCCAAAAAUAAUAAAGCAUCCAGAAUUCCUAUCGGACAGCAAGGGAAAUUGGUUGAGAAAAUGUAGUAUGAAUACUUGGGCCAAACUGACUAGUCAUGGUAUGAGCGAGGAACAGAACAAAGUGGUCAUAGUGGUCUCACUAAAAUUGAAAUCCAAA